GGGCCCGCACAAGCGGUGGAGCAUGUGGUUUAAUUCGAUGAUACGCGAGGAACCUUACCAGGGCUUAAAUGUAGUAUGACCGGUCUAGAAAUAGGCCUUCCCUUCGGGGCAGAUUACAAGGUGCUGCAUGGUUGUCGUCAGCUCGUGCCGUGAGGUGUUAGGUUAAGUCCUAUAACGAGCGCAACCCCUACCGUUAGUUGCCAGCGAUUCAAGUCGGGGACUCUAACGGGACUGCCGGUGCAAACCGUGAGGAAGGUGGGGACGACGUCAAAUCAUCACGGCCCUUACGUCCUGGGUUACACACGUGCUACAAUGGUCGGUACAGAGGGCAGCUACCACGUGAGUGGAUGCAAAUCUCGAAAGCCGAUCUCAGUUCGGAUUGAAGUCUGCAACUCGACUUCAUGAAGCUGGAAUCGCUAGUAAUCG
rnacentral:rRNA from 1 species